AUUGAACGCUGGCGGCAGGCUUAACACAUGCAAGUCGAGCGGGGUGAUGGUGCUUGCACUAUCACUUAGCGGCGGACGGGUGAGUAAUGCUUAGGAAUCUGCCUAUUAGUGGGGGACAACAUCUCGAAAGGGAUGCUAAUACCGCAUACGUCCUACGGGAGAAAGCAGGGGAUCACUUGUGACCUUGCGCUAAUAGAUGAGCCUAAGUCGGAUUAGCUAGUUGGUGGGGUAAAGGCCUACCAAGGCGACGAUCUGUAGCGGGUCUGAGAGGAUGGUCCGCCAAACGAGGAGUGGGACACGGCCCGGACUCCUACGGGAGGCAGCAGUGGGGAAUAUUGGACAAUGGGGGGAACCCUGAUCCAGCCAUGCCGCGUGUGUGAAGAAGGCCUUAUGGUUGUAAAGCACUUUAAGCGAGGAGGAGGCUCUUUUGGUUAAUACCCAAGAUGAGUGGACGUUACUCGCAGAAUAAGCACCGGCUAACUCUGUGCCAGCAGCCGCCGUAA
rnacentral:rRNA from 1 species